UCUCUUGACAUGCAUACGAGUUGUUUAUUCGACCAGUCGCGGAGAGACGCGAUCGCGAGGAAGCGCGUCAACGGGAGUCGUAAAUUCCCGUUACGAUUGGAAUAACCUACGCCACGAACAGAGAUCGAUCGCCUAUUUCGGUUAGGAUAAUACAGGUGGUUGAAUCAGUAUAACGCUGAGAUUAACAGAUUAUAAUAUAUGUUUCCAAGAACUUUGUAGAGAAGAUAGCUGCGCUGAUGCGUUAGAUAUCCCACAGUCAAAGAAGAAAUAUACAAGUUGAGAAGCAGAUAUAGCACAAGAGUCAACAACCACCACAGCCCAUUAGUCACCCAACUACUUGACACGACGGACCAGAUCCGCAGACUCAAAAGAAAAUACCCUUUAGAUCGAAGCAUUAGAUCCAACUAGAAUCAACAUAAUGUAAAUUAUUAUAAACCAAGUUAUUGUACCACGCCAAAUGAAGUUACUUAAAAUUCUCGACGAGAAUUGAUCGUAAAUAAUCUACCAAAUAAAAAAAAAAGGAAAAACGCUGUUGCGUUAGGUAUGAGAGAAGUAGGUGAAUGAUUGACAGGUGGAAACCCGGUAAAGAGAUAUGUCGACUGAUCUGUAGUCGUAGAUCCAGUGAAGUCCGGUGACGAUGCUGUUGCGAAGGAAAACUCUCGUUCGAUGGUGAUCGCCCCACCACUGGUCGCUUGCGGGUGGUAUCCUGGAAACUUCUAUUUUUACCUGAUGGAGCAAUAACCAUAAGGAACCUCUUGACUGGAAGAUGUUUUAUGCCAAUUGACGGACCUAACGGUAAAU